UACGUAGGCAGCAAGCGUUGUUCGGAGUUACUGGGCGUAAAGGGUGUGUAGGCGGUUCUCUAAGUCUGGUGUGAAAUCUCCCGGCUCAACUGGGAGGGUGCGCCGGAAACUGGAGAGCUAGAGUACUGGAUGGGAGAGUGGAAUUCCUGGUGUAGCGGUGAAAUGCGUAGAUAUCAGGAGGAACACCUGUGGUGUAGACGGCUCUCUGGACAGUAACUGACGCUGAGACACGAAAGCGUGGGCAGCAAACAGG
rnacentral:rRNA from 1 species